UACAGAGGUCUCAAGCGUUGUUCGGAUUCAUUGGGCGUAAAGGGUGCGUAGGUGGCGGGGCAAGUCAGGUGUGAAAUCUCGGAGCUUAACUUCGAAACUGCAUUCGAUACUGCCGUGCUUGAGGACUGGAGAGGAGACUGGAAUUUACGGUGUAGCGGUGAAAUGCGUAGAUAUCGUAAGGAAGACCAGUGGCGAAGGCGGGUCUCUGGACAGUUCCUGACACUGAGCACGAAGGCCAGGGGAGCGAAACGGGAUUAGAA
rnacentral:rRNA from 1 species